UACGUAGGGGGCAAGCGUUGUUCGGAAUUACUGGGCGUAAAGCGCGCGUAGGCGGAUUGGCAAGACAGAUGUGAAAUCCCCGGGCUCAACCUGGGAACUGCAUUUGUGACUGCAUCGCUGGAGUGCGGCAGAGGGGGAUGGAAUUCCGCGUGUAGCAGUGAAAUGCGUAGAUAUGCGGAGGAACACCGAUGGCGAAGGCAAUCCCCUGGGCCUGCACUGACGCUCAUGCACGAAAGCGUGGGGAGCAAACAGG
rnacentral:rRNA from 1 species